rnacentral:sRNA from 1 species
GCCGGGUGAGGAGGCGCAUGCCUGUAAUCCCAGCACCUUGGGAGGCUGAGGCAAGUAGCAUGCCUUAU